rnacentral:rRNA from 1 species
UCCGCGUGUAGCAGUGAAAUGCGUAGAUAUGCGGAGGAACACCGAUGGCGAAGGCAAUCCCCUGGACCUGUACUGACGCUCAUGCACGAAAGCGUGGGGAGCAAACAGGAUUAGAUACCCUGGUAGUCCACGCCCUAAACGAUGUCAACUGGUUGUUGGGAGGGUUUCUUCUCAGUAACGUAGCUAACGCGUGAAGUUGACCGCCUGGGGAGUACGGCCGCAAGGUUGAGACUCAAAGGAAUUGACGGGGACCCGCACAAGCGGUGGAUGAUGUGGUUUAAUUCGAUGCAACGCGAAAAACCUUACCUACCCUUGACGUGUCUGGAAUCCUGAAGAGAUUUGGGAGUGCUCGAAAGAGAGCCAGAACACAGGUGCUGCAUGGCCGUCGUCAGCUCGUGUCGUGAGAUGUUGGGUUAAGUCCCGCAACGAGCGCAACCCUUGUCAUUAGUUGCUACGAAAGGGCACUCUAAUGAGACUGCCGGUGACAAACCGGAGGAAGGUGGGGAUGACGUCAGGUCAUCAUGGCCCUUAUGGGUAGGGCUACACACGUCAUACAAUGGCCGGGACAGAGGGCUGCCAACCCGCGAGGGGGAGCUAAUCCCAGAAACCCGGUCGUAGUCCGGAUCGUAGUCUGCAACUCGACUGCGUGAAGUCGGAAUCGCUAGUAAUCGCGGAUCAGCUUGCCGCGGUGAAUACGUUCCCGGGUCUUGUACACACCGCCCGUCACACCAUGGGAGCGGGUUCUGCCAGAAGUAGUUAGCCUAAC